GGGGGGAGCAAGCGUUGUUCGGAUUUACUGGGCGUAAAGGGCGCGUAGGCGGCCACCGCAAGUCGACUGUGAAAUCUCCGGGCUUAACCCGGAACGGUCAGCCGAUACUGCGGGGCUAGAGUGCAGAAGGGGCAACUGGAAUUCUCGGUGUAGCGGUGAAAUGCGUAGAUAUCGAGAGGAACACCUGCGGCGAAGGCGGGUUGCUGGGCUGACACUGACGCUGAGGCGCGAAAGCUAGGGGAGCGAACGGGAUUAGAUACCCCGGUAGUCCUAGCCUUAAACGAUGAAUGCUUGGUGUCUGGGGUUUUAUAGUCCCCGGGUGCCGUCGCUAACGCUUUAAGCAUUCCGCCUGGGGAGUACGGUCGCAAGACUG
rnacentral:rRNA from 1 species